rnacentral:lncRNA from 1 species
AGCAAAACACACAAUUUAUUAUAAUGUAUUUGGAACGUGUUUCAAAAUUUACCAUAGCUAUCUAUAGAUAUCUCUGUCUAUCUAGGUAGAUAGAUGAUAGAUAGAUAGAUAGAUAGGUAGGUAGAUAGAUAGAUAGAUAGGUUAGAUAGACAGAUAUAGGCUGAGGUUAGGGAUUUGUAAUCAUAAAAUAACUCACUGAGUGAAAAGGCAAGCAACAGAAUGGGAAAUGAAAUUUGCAAACAUAAAUACAAUAAGAACUCUUGAUCGAAAGAUACUUUUUAAACUCUACAAAUGAAUUUUUUGAAAAAAAAAAAAAAUAUGGCCAGGUACGGUGUCUCACGCCAUUAAUCCCAGCACUUUGGGAGGACCACUUGAGCCCGAGAAUUUGAGACUUGUCUGGGCAACACAGUGAGAGACCUCUGCCUCUACAAAAAAUUUAAAAGAUUAGCCAGGCAUGGUGGCCGUGGCCUGUAGUCCUAGCUACUCCUAAGUAGCUAGGCUCUUUUGAGUCUGGGAGGUCAAGGAUGCAGUGAGCUCUGAUCAACUGCUGCACUCCAGCCUGGGUGACAGAGUCAGAACCAUCUCCAAAAAAAAUUGAUGUAGAAGAACUUCUAAGAAGUGAGAGUGGAGACAGAGGCCAAAGAUGCUGCUCUAGGCUGCUCCGUGAAUUCCAGGACUUCUGAGAAGCACCCUCUGGACAGCGUCUUUACUGCCCUCAAGGACUCAGCUGGUCAGCAAUGGCCAGCCAGACUCCAUCCCCAGUGUGGAGAGGAGGUAGCUGAUCCCAGAGGCGCUCCUAGCAGGCAUGUGGAACCCAAGAACAGCUCGCCCUGCCAAGGCAAUGGAGAGCAGGCUGGCAAGGCAGGAGCUCAGGCUCUGUGUGGGCAGGCAAGGAGGAGCCCCGCAACCAUGCCACCACCCCUUACUACAAGAAGCCUCUGUAUGGCAUCUUGCACAAGGUCAUGGAGAAGAAGAACCCUCCCUCAGGGGACCUGCUAAACACAUAUGAGCUCUUCCAGAAGGCAAAUGCCAGCAACAGCCCCUUGCUGCUUAGGCUCCUGAAUGAGCCAUAGAAAUGGGACUGUGGCAGCACUGGGGCAGCCACCAACAGUGACCCUAACAUCUACUUCCUGAUCCAGGAGAUGUUCUACAUGCUCAACACGCUCACGUCCAACAGGUCCCAGCUGCACAGCAAAGUGGACCUGCUCUCCCUGAAGGUGAACCCCACUGAGAUGGUGGCCAAAUUCCAGCCGACCCCCACCACCCCAUAGCAGCUCACGGGCAUGGAGCUCAAGCAGAUCUUGGACCAGAGCCUGUCAGGUGGGGUCCUGGCCUGCUGGCUGCUGGUGCAGCUCUUCCCCAAGCUCUUCAGCCACAGUCAACUUCUCCCAAGGCUGCAGUGCCUGCAGCUUUGAGGCCAAGCUUAAGCUGGAGUCACUGCACCUGCAGCUCAUCCACAACUACAUGGAGGUCUACUACCCCUCGGUGAAGGAGAGGGCUGUGUGACAGGCCGAGUGCUUGCCCCAGCUGAGUAAGUUCUUCAGCCGCUUCUGGGCCCAGCGGGAGAUGGAGAACAGCCAGCCUGGUGGCCAGGCUGCCAGCUUGAGGCUGAGCAGUGGACCCCGGCCACUUCCUGGACCACAAAGAUGAGGAGGAGGGCCUGUCUCUGGACAGGAGCAGCACCAUCGCCUCAGACCACGUGGUGGACAUGUAGGCCCUCACCUAGUUCCUGGAUGAAGCCUCUUCACCCGGUGAGUUUGCCGUCUUCCUCCUCCACUGGCUCUUCCCUGAGCUCUUCCACUACAGCAAGCUGGGUGAGCAGGACAGCUGCUACGGGGACGGCGGCAAGCAGGAGCUGGACCCGCAGAGGCUGCAGAUCAUCAGCAACUACACGGAGGUCUACUUCCCCCACAUGCAGGAGGAGGAGGCCUGGCUGCAGCGGUGCGCCCAGUGCAUCAACGACAAGCUCCAGGGCCUGGGGCUGGACGCGGGCAGCGAAGGCAAGCCCCCCACGCAACAACUGCUACAACUCCUCCAGCCUGCCCGAUGACAUCUCAGUAAUCAGGGUGGAGGACAGCUUCAAGGGCGAGCGGUGCCGCUCCAAGAAGAUCUGACUGGUACCUAUCGACUUGGACAAAUUGGAGAUCCCCAGCCCAACUUGGAGUUGCCCGGCGCCGACUGCCUGCUCAGCAACGAGCAUCUUCGCAGUAUCUAGGAGAGCAGCCUGUCCAUCGGCAACUUCACCUCGCGCCUGCUGGUGCCCCUGUUCCCCAAGCUCUUCACCCAUGACAACCUGCACAAGCAGUACAGCUGCAGCGACUCCCUGGGCAAGAAGCAGCUGGACCCGUCCUGCAUCAAGCUCAUUCGCCACUAAGUGCACCUGCUCUACCUCUGCACCAAAAACAAUCGCGUCUGGACCCUGGAGUUCAUGGGCAACCUGCACUGGAACACGAACAGAGGCGCUCCUACCAGCAGCAGUGCAAGGUCCACGUGCUGGCCCCGAGUGUAGAAACAUGAGGAGCUAUGCAAUCAAUCCUGAGAGGUUCAGGGAGGAGUUUGAGGGUCCCCCGCUGCCCCUGAGAGGAGCAGCAAGGACUUCUGCAAGAUCCCCUUGGAUGAGGUGGUGGUCCUUCACCGAGCUUCCCAGUGCGCUCUCCCUACCUGCUGUCCGACAAGGAGGUGCGCGAGAUCGUGCAGCAGAGCCUCUCCGUGGGCAACUUUGCCGCGGGGCUCCUCCACCGCCGAGAACUUCCGGCUGCAGU